CUUGUGAGAUGGAAAAAGAUUACUAUAAGAUGCCCUUCACCUGCCAAUGCCUCCAUUUUUUGCCUGAAGGCUUUCUCUGGCCAUCAGUGACUACUCAGUCUGAACACACAACGGGCUGAAAAUACCAAGGAAUUAACGUUUCUCGGGAGCAGUUCUCAACCAAUAACUUGGAUAAACUGGAACUGGCAGAAGACUAAGGCCUGUGACAAAGGAUCAGUGGAAAAAUAAAGAAGAAGGAGAGGAUAAAUGAUGAAUCAAAGGCACAAGGACAGGCUGGGCACAGUGGCUCAUGCCUGUAAUCUCAGCACUUUGGGAGCCCAAGGCCCAGUCCCAAGGUGCAAGGCCACUUGUGCUAGCAGCAUGCGUCAGCAAGAUAGCAGAAGCAGGAAGAGAGCUGGCCGGAAGAUAUGUACCCUGUGAAGACCGAGAGAGAGGCCGUCCAGGUACCACGUAGCAGUUACAUCAGACUGAGACACUUCCUGUUUACAGGAGACUAUAAAACCCCUGCCCCAUCCUCAUUUGGUGCUGAUGCCAUUUUCAGCCUCAGCACGCCUGCACCCAGGCGCUCAUUAAAACAGCAUGUUGCUCCCCACUGCCUCGUGUUGUCUGUUGGCGCGCUGUCGGGGUUCGAACCGAUACAAGAACCUUCCACCUACCUGGUGCUUUGGCCUCAUCUAUAAGCUUUUCCACUGUCCUGAAACAAGAUAGAGAAUCUGAGCGGCCAGUCAUCUGCCCUAAGUGCUGCCGCCGAAGACUGAAUGUCCUGGAAAGUUUGCUGUCACAUCUCCAUUAUGACAAAAGCAUUGUGCCGAACAGAUGAAAAAAUGCAUUGUCAACGGAAUCUUUUAUGUUUGUUUGUCUUCCUUUAAGCAACAUUGCCUUACUUGU
rnacentral:lncRNA from 1 species